ACCUCCAUUAGAGACUGGGCACUUCUGCAAACUGAUGUCCUGGGUCAGGACCAGAGUCAGAAGACCAGAUCCUAUCGGUGUUGGCUCUGCAUGCUCAAGGCACUUUACUUUGAACAUGAGCUUCGUGGGGUCAGGAACUUUGUCUCCUUGACUGUCAUACCCCUGGAAUACUGCCUGGCAUAUAAAAGCUUGCAGCACAAGGAAAGUUAGAAAUAAUUUUUCUCUGGUGGAAUGAGUGAAGAUCAAGAUGUGAGGCAUGCCUGGCCUCAGUGGGCCGGAACCCAGGGAGCGCCAUGUCUCGGGAGGAGUACCCUAAUUUCAGCGCUGGGAUCGCUCAUCACUGAAUCCUCAACGCUGGGCACACUGAAUCUGCAGGUGGAGACCGGAGGCUGCUCACGCCUACACCCGAUGAUGCAGUCUCACCGCUGUGGCUGGACUCUGCUGGUCUGGAAGUUUCCCUACCCAGUGGAGAGAUAGUUCCAUGGAGGCACAGGGUAAAAUCCUACAGAACUAGAACUAGGAGUAGGACUGUGAUAAAUGCUGAGCCUACAGGGUCUUGGCAAAGGAGCCCUAUGCCGAUUAUCCAGGGGAGGCACUGCUGUCAAACAGAGGGCAGGGGGCUGUCAAGGCCAGCAGAAAACAGACUACACCAGGUAAGCAGGUGCAUCAGCGACCCGUCCCCCACCUCUUUCUUGUUCAUCUUGAUUGAAGGAAGGUAAUCUGUCAUGACCCAGCUAAAGAAUUGCAUUUGGUUUAGCUCAGUGAUAACGUUCCUCUCUCCUUUUGCUAGAUACGUGAUUCGCAGCUUCCAGUGUAGCAGGAGUUGUCACCUGAUGCGGUUCUGGCCAAGAAGAUGGGAGGAGAAGCCUGCUGGAAGCCCAGCGGAAAGCUGUGGCUUUGCGGAUGAAAAGCCGCUAGCCGGUGCCAUUCUCUCGCUAGUCUUCCUGCUGUGAACAUGGCCAAGGUGCCCAUGAUGGUAUCUUGUGAUCGUGAGGCAAAGGGCAGGAGUGGAGUGGAGAUGUGACCCAGAGACCUGACAUUAUAGCUAAACCUACCCCAGAAAUUGCUUUCAAUUUCUUGUUAUAUGAGAAAAACAAAUCCCUGUAUUUAAGCCACUGUUAUCUGGAUUUUCUAUUAUUUGCAGCUAAGAGAUUUCCUGAUAGCAAAAGGUAGAAUCACUCAACUGAGCAAAAAACAAAGAGAACCUGGAAGAUGAAUGAAGGGAACUACGGAUGUCCAUUAACUACAGCCUCAGGAUCAAUUGUAGAAUUAAGGGCAUACCCUACCUCUUUUUCAGGUGUGUUGGUGGCGGUUACAUUCACCAUUUGCCCUGAGUUUGCAAAAUAAUGAGGAAUAACCCCUAGAAAUGGUAGCAGAGGGAACACAAGAAGAGUGAGUAUCCUCAAGAGAUCGUGGGCUUGAUGCUGAAAAACAGCUUUGUCAGGUGCGGCGUGACAUGGCCGUGGCACACGAUACCUGCAGGACGUGCACAUUUGAUUGUCUCCUUGCUGGGAGCAGAAAUGUGAACUGAAUGUUCAAAAAGAACUCGCUACUUGGGAAGAGAGGAGACGUGAGGAGGUGGCUGAGUCACGUUAAUGCCUGGGUACUAGUCGGUGUGGACAACCUUCCUCCUGCCCCCGUGGGUCCAUGAUGACUCCUGUUCCCGGAUGUGCAUAUGCGGUUAACAUUAACGAUCAGUUGAAUUUAAGUUAAGGGAAUCUCCCCCUCAGUAAUGUGGUUGGACCUCAUUCAAUCAGCUCAUUCAAUCAGCUAAAAGAAAAAGCUGACGUUACCCAGAGAAGAAAUGCUGCCUUAAGACUGCAGCAUCAACUCCUGCCUUUAUUAGUUCUAUUUCUCUGGAGAAAUCUGGCUGAAGCACCAUGGAAGAGUCUGCCUCCUUCACCACUCCACGGCAUUACUACCAA